rnacentral:rRNA from 1 species
GAUAACGACCAAAUCACCCGGAAUACACCCUAUCUCGUGAGACCUCGGAAGCUAAGCAGGUUUGAUCAUGUAUAGUGCUUGGAUGGGUUACCAUGUUCAAGAACAGGUGUUGUAGAUA